rnacentral:rRNA from 1 species
GAUGAACGCUGGCGGCGUGCCUAAUACAUGCAAGUCGAGCGAACAGACGAGGAGCUUGCUCCUCUGACGUUAGCGGCGGACGGGUGAGUAACACGUGGAUAACCCACCUAUAAGACUGGGAUAACUUCGGGAAACCGGAGCUAAUACCGGAUAAUAUAUUGAACCGCAUGGUUCAAUAGUGAAAGACGGUUUUGCUGUCACUUAUAGAUGGAUCCGCGCCGCAUUAGCUAGUUGGUAAGGUAACGGCUUACCAAGGCAACGAUGCGUAGCCGACCUGAGAGGGUGAUCGGCCACACUGGAACUGAGACACGGUCCAGACUCCUACGGGAGGCAGCAGUAGGGAAUCUUCCGCAAUGGGCGAAAGCCUGACGGAGCAACGCCGCGUGAGUGAUGAAGGUCUUCGGAUCGUAAAACUCUGUUAUUAGGGAAGAACAAAUGUGUAAGUAACUAUGCAUGUCUUGACGGUACCUAAUCAGAAAGCCACGGCUAACUACGUG